CGCUGAAAAAGAGAGCGCAGCAACAAAUAUAAGCACAUUACGACGCGACCUACUAAGAAAAAAGGCUCCUUUUUGAGGUCGAGAAACACUGACGAGAAAGAAUUGAGGAAUAUCUUAAACCACAACAAACCACAGAAAAACAAAACAAAAACUAAUUAAGGACUAUUAAGAGACUGCUAAAAGGAACAACAACUCUACAGAUAAACAACAACAAAAACCCCAGGAGAAGAAAGACUAGAAUUAAUCAUAAUACCAAUAGUUUAACAAA